ACACUCCAAAGUUACACGUCACAAAUUAGGUUUGUAGAGAGAGGGAGUAAAAUGGGAUAGGAAAUGAGAGAAGGAGAAAAACGGACCUCCACAACGGCGUGAGCGAGAGUACGAUGGCCUGAAUGAGAGUACGGUGGUGAAGGCCGUUAUCGGCGGCGGCAAGUGGUUGUCGGAAUGGUGGAGGUUGCGCCGGUGAGGAUGGUGUUACGGUGGAUGGAAAUCGGGUUAGGUUUUUCUGAAUCGAGAGAGGGUCGUGGGAGAUCGUCGUGGUCGUGGCUUGAAGAUGGAACGCAGAACGACGAUGCUCGAGUCGAAAGAUGAAGAGCGGAAGCGAAUCAAUUCCGAAAAGGAUUGAAGAGACUUUGAUGGAAUGGAAAAGUGGCUGCUCCAAGCUUCAAGACAGCAUGUUUUUGCACCUAGGACCAAAGGAGUGUUUAACCACUUAGUCAAAAAAAAUGUAAUUAUUUAGUCAAAAAAUGUAAUUAUUUAGUUUAAUAAUUAUAGCUCUGAGAUAUCUAA